rnacentral:lncRNA from 1 species
UGGCAUGUUUAGAAAGAAGCAGACAAUCACAUGUUGCAUAUUACUUACCACAAUCCAGAACAACACUAGACAGGUGCAUGAAACAUCUUACCACAAUUACAUAACCGGUUCAGGCCUGGCACUAAGUUCAUGAGAUGAGCAAAAGUGCACUAGGACUACCACGACACUUCAAAACCUUGACAUUUAUGAUUUAUGACAACAUCCAAGCAACAAGCUACACAGAAAUACAUAAGAGUUCAUAUGAAUAGUACACUAGUAGACGAAAUGCAACAAAGCACAUAAGAGUUCAUAACUUCAUAUGAAUAGGACACUAGUAGACGAAACACAACAAUUUCAUGGCACUAGAUCCGAGGGCCUCAAGUUUGAAUAACGGGGAUGAUCUGAUCAUAUAUAGAUCGAAAUUGAAACCUGCAUAACAACAAAGGACACAAUGAGCACAUGAAGUCUCAUACCGGAAGGAAUGCAGGGAAUAUUAUGAGAAAUUUUGUUGGUUGAUCUAGCUAUCAGAAUGCUUGAAUUCAUACAAACUCUUCAAUUUUAGUCUAGCUAGCCAUCAGGGCUUAUUCUAAGAACUUCUUGUAAUGGGACUGUAAUGGAACAUGAAACUAAGCAGAAGUUUUAACUCAAAUUUGGUAGGAAGCAUUUUGGGUAGCGCUUACACGAAACAGCUAUAGAGCAGGGUGUCAAACUGUCCCAUUCAAAUAAAAUAAUGUACACUUCAGAUUUUUGCCUUCGGUACUACCUACAUUAGUCCAAACCACCUUACAUUACCUAAUCAAGCAUUUAGUUGAGGAAAUUAAUGCUUUCUAUUGCUGCGCUAACUGAUAAUUAAGCUCCCUACUCUUGUGCGUUGCUAACUGAUAUGUCUCCGUCGUAUCUACUUUUCCAAACACUUUUGCCCUUAUUUUGGACUCUAACUUGUAUGAUUUGAAUGGAACUAACCCGGACUGACGCUGUUUUCAGCAGAACUGCCAUGGUGUUGUUUUUUGUGCAGAAAAUAAAGAUUCUCGGAAUGUCCUGAAACUCCACGGAACACCUUAGAAAAAAUAAAGAAAAAUCCUCGCAAAAGAUGAAGACCAGGGGGCCCACACCCUGCUCACGAGGGUGGGGGGCGCGCCCCCCCUGGGCGCACCCCCUACCUCGUGGGCCCCCUGGAGACCCUCCGACGCCAACUCCAACUCCAUAUAUUGGCUUUCGGGGAGAGAAAAAUCAGAGAGAAGAAAUCAUCGCGUUUUACGAUACGGAGCCGCCGCCAAGCCCUAAUCUCUCUCGGGAGGGCUGAUCUGGAGUCCAUUCGGGGCUCUGGAGAGGGGGAUUCGUCGCCGUCGUCAUCAUCAACCAUCCUCCAUCACCAAUUUCAUGAUGCUCACCGCCGUGCGUGAGUAAUUUCAUCGUAGGCUUGCUGGACGGUGAUGGGUUGGAUGAGAUUUAUCAUGUAAUCGAGUUAGUUUUAUUAGGGUUUGAUCCCUAGUAUCCAUUAUGUUCUGAGAUUGAUGUUGCUGUGACUUUGCUAUGCUUAAUGCUUGUCACUAGGGCCCGAGUGCCAUGAUUUCAGAUCUGAACCUAUUAUGUUUUCAUGAAUAUAUGUGUGUUCUAGAUCCUAUCUUGCAAGUCUAUAGUCACCUACUAUGUGUUAUGAUCCGGCAACCCCGAAGUGACAAUAAUCGGGACCACUCCCGGUGAUGACCAUAGUUUGGGGAGUUCAUGUAUUCACUAUGUGCUAAUGCUUUGUUCCGGUUCUCUAUUAAAAGGAGGCCUUAAUAUCCCUUAGUUUUCAAUAGGACCCCGCUGCCACGGGAGGGUAGGACAAAAGAUGUCAUGCAAGUUCUUUUCCAUAAGCACGUAUGACUAUUUACGGAAUACAUGCCUACAUUAUAUUGAUGAACUAGAGCUAGUUCUGUGUCACCCUAUGUUAUGACUGUUACAUGACGAACCACAUCCGGCAUAAUUAUCCAUCAUUGAUCCAGUGCCUAUGAGUUUUCCAUAUACUGGUUCUCGCUUAUUUACUUUCUCGUUGCUACUGUUACAAUCAUUACAAAAUACCAAAAACAUUACUUUUACUGUCUUUACUUUUGUUACCGUUAUCAUCACUAUCAUAUUACUUUGCUACUAAACACCUUGCUGCAGAUACUAAGUUUCCAGGUGUGGUUGAAUUGACAACUCAGCUGCUAAUACUUGAGAAUAUUCUUUGGCUCCCCUUGUGUCGAAUCAACAAAUUUGGGUUGAAUACUCUACCCUCGAAAACUGUUGCGAUCCCCUAUACUUGUGGGUCAUCAAGACUAUUUUCUGGCGCCGUUGCCGGGGAGCAUAGCUCUAUUCUUUGAGUCACUUGGGAUUUAUAUCUGCUGGACACUAUGAAGAAUUUGAAAGAUGAUCGAACUACUAUUUUGCCCUCAACUACGAGUGGAGGUAAAGGACUGCCAUCUAGCCUUGCACUAGAUUCUCCUUCUGUUAUGAGUAAGUUUGCGACACCUAAACCUACUACUGCUAUUGAUUCUGAUAUGUCGCAUGUUAUUGAUGAUGCCACUUCUGCUAUGCAUGAUACUUAUGAUGAAACUACUUCUAUGCUUGAUACUACUGUGCCACUUGGUGAAUAUCUUGAUGAGCAAUUAUUGAACCUGAACACAAUGAUGUUAGUGACGAUGAACCUAUGCCUGCUAUUCCUGAAGGUUAUCUUUUUGAUGCAGAAUCUUCUGCCGCUAUUUUUGCUUGCCAGGAUAGAUAUGAACUUAAGAGGUUGCUAAUUAAAUGGAGUAAAGAAUCUCUUAGAGAUAGAAUGAGACCCAACCCUGCUUUUGCUACUUCACCUAUUUGUGUUCUCGAUAAGGAUUAUUAUGAUUUUUCUGUUGAUCCAAAUAUAAUUACUUUGGUUGAAUCUGAUCCUUUUUAUGGCUAUGAAUCUGAAACUGUUGUGGCACAUCUUACUAAGUUAAAUGAUAUAGCUGCCCUGUUUACUAAUAAUGAGAGAUCGCGCUACCUUUAUUUACUUAAGAUAUUUCCGUUCUCGUUAAAGGGUGAUGCUAAGAUAUGGUACAAUUCUCUUGAUCCUGGUUGUGUGCAAAGUCCCCAGGAUAUGAUUUAUUACUUCUCUGCUAAAUAUUUCCCUGCUCAUAAGAAACAAGCUGCUUUGAGGGAAAUAUACAAUUUUGUGCAAAUUGAAGAAGAGAGUCUCCCACAAGCUUGGGGGAGGAUUCUCAAGUUACUUAAUGCUUUGCCUGAUCAUCCUCUUAAGAAACCUGAAACAUUUGAUAUCUUUUAUAAUGGACUAACUGAUGCUUCCAGAGAUUACCUGGAUAGUUGUGCUGGUUCUCUUUUCAGGGAAAGAACACCGGAUGACGCUAAAAUUCUAUUGAAUAAUAUAUUGGCUAAUGAAAAUAAUUGGGCACCUCCCGAGCUACCUCCUAAGCCAGUUCCUGAGCCAAUUACUGAGCCUAUUCCUAAACCAACUCCAAAGAAGAGAGGUGUUCUAUUUCUCAGUCCUGAAGAUAUGCAAGAGGCAAAGAAAUCUAUGAAAGAAAAAGGUAUUAAAGCUGAAGAUGUUAAGAAUUUACCUCCUAUUGAAGAAAUACAUGGUCUUAAUUUACCGCCUGUUGAAGAAUUAUAUGAUCUUAAUUACUUAUUUAAUGAAGAACCUCCCGACAUCCCGACAUAGGUAGUGAAGGUAAAUUCUCUCUAUAGAUAUGAUAAAGCUGAAGUCCCUCCUACUAAAAUUGCUAGUCAGUGCUUGGAUGAGUUUGAUGACUUUAUGUUUAAGAAAGAUGACUUUAAUGCUUAUUUUGGUAGACAAUUAAAACAAAAUACCUUUAUGAUUAAACGCUUGGGUGAUUAUAUGGCUGAUAUUAGAGGUGAAUUUAAACUUGUUAGCAAGCAUGCUUCUAUGGUUACCACCCAAGUAGAACAAGUACUUAAAGCUCAGAAAGAAGUGCUUGAUGAAAUGAAUAGUAAGAAAAAUGAUUAUGCUGUUAGAGUGGCUACUAGAACUGGUAGAAUGACUCAGGAACCUUUGUAUCCUGAAGGCCACCCUAAGAGAAUCGAGCAAGAUUCUCAGAGAAAUGAUAUUGAUCUACCUAGUUCUUCUAAGAGGAAGAAAAAGAAAAAUGAUAGGACUUUGCAAACUUCUAGUGAACCUAUUGCUGAACCACCUGAGAAUCCAAAUGAUAUUUCUAUUUCUGAUGCUGAAACACAAUCAGGUGAUGAACAUGAACCUAGUGAUAAUGUUAAUGAUAAUGUUCAUGUUGAUGCUCAACCUAGUAAUGAUAAUGAUGUAGAAGUUGAACCUGCUGUUGAUCUUGAUAACCCACAAUCAAGGAAUCAACAUUAUGAUAAAAGAGACUUCGUUGCUAGGAAACAUGGUAAAGAAAGGGAACCAUGGGUCCAAAAACCCAUGCCUUUUCCCCCUAAACCAUCCAAGAAAAAGGAUGAUGAGGAUUUUGAGCGCUUUGCUAAAAUGAUUAGACCUAUCUUUUUGCGUAUGCGAUUAACGGACGUGCUCAAAACAAAUCCUUACUCUAAGUAUAUGAAGGAUAUUAUUACUAAUAAAAGAAAGAUACCUGAAGCUGAAAUUUCCACCAUGCUUGCUAAUUAUACUUUUAAGGGUGGAGUACCAAAGAAACUUGGAGAUCCCGGAGUACGUACUAUACCAUGCUCCAUUAAGAGAAAUUAUGUUAAAACUGCUUUAUGUGAUCUUGGAGCCGGUGUUAGUGUUAUGCCUCUAUCUUUAUAUCAUAGAAUUGACUUUAAUAAGUUGACACCUACUGAAAUAUCUUUGCAAAUGGCUGAUAAAUCAACCGCUAUACCUGUCGGUAUUUGUGAGGAUGUGCCUGUUGUGGUUGCAAACAUUACUAUUUUAAUGGACUUUGUUAUUCUUGAUAUUCCUGAGGAUGAUAGUAUGUCUAUUAUUCUUGGAAGACCUUUCCUUAAUACUGCAGGGGCUGUUAUUGAUUUCAACAAAGGCAAUGUCACUUUUCAUGUUAAUGGCAAUGAGCACACGGUACACUUUCCGAGGAAACAACCUCAAGUUUAUACUAUCAACUCUAUUGGAAAAAUUCCAUCGAUUAUAUUUGGAGGUUUUGAAUUUCCUCUCCCUACUGUCAAGAAAAAGUAUGAUAUACUCAUUGUUGGGGAUUUUCAUAUCCCCGUUGAGGUAACUUAGUGCUAUUCGAAAUUUCUCCGGUUCCGUGUUAAUCGGAAUGAGCUCGUUAACAAGACUUGAUCAACCUUGUUAGUGGAUUCAUUUUGAUGAUCACGAGAUGGAUGAAACUAGAAGCACAACUUUUUGUGCCCUCUUUAUACUUUCUGUUAUUUAGUAGAAAUAAAGUAAAAUAGUAUUUUUCUGUCUGCCUCCUGACUUAUCGGCUCAAUAUAAAAAUAUCCCGAAAAUAAAAGUCCUCAGAAUGCCAUGCCAAUUUAAUAUGAUUUUUUCGGGAAUAUUUAAGAAUUUACUGUGCAAAAAUCACCACGGGGAGAGCUGCCACCUGGCCACGAGGGUGGAGGGUGCGCCCUACCCCCCUGGGCACGCCCCCUGCCUCGUGGGCCCACGGUGGCCCUCCUCCAGUUAUUCCUGCACCCAUCUUCUUCCUCUGUCUCACACAAACACAAAAAACCAACUCAAGCAUGAGUUCCAGCCCCCGUUGCUGUGAUUUUCGAUCUCCUUGCUCAAAGCACCUCUCGCAAAACUGCUUGGGGAAAUUAUUCCUUGGUAUGUGACUCCUCCAUUGGUCCAAUUAGUUUUUGUUUUAGUGCUUUAUUCAUUGCAAACUUGUGCUGCAUAGGUGACCAUGUUCUUGAGCUUGCAUGUCAAAUUUAUAUGGUUCCAAGUAGUUCUAAUGCUCUAUAUAGGCGCUAGGCACUUGUGGGAGUUUUUACUAUCAAUUUUAUUGAAGUUGGUUCACUUUUAUUUGAAGUUACUAAAAAUUUCAGAUUGUUUCAGAAAAUAAUGAAGAGAUUUUUGAGGGGCUCAUCGAGCCGAAGCUCGAAGGAAAAACAAAAGGAAGAAGAGCAAAAGCCCAAAUUUAAUUUGCCUCGCACCGCGGAGGUCCGGCUAUGUGAAUGGCCUUCCGAUGACUUCUUGAGGAGUGCCGGGAUUUAUGAGGAUUUCUAUCUAUUAAUUGAGAAUGCCGGCCUCACCAACUUCCUCCGCGACCAACGUCAUCAGUAUCUCUUACUCACAAAUACUUUUGUGCAGAACUUCUACUUUUUCCCUAAAAAAUCACCUUCAACAGUAGAGUUCCAUUUAUAUGACGUUGUUAAGGAGAUGCCAUUAGCUAAAUUUUGCGAGGUUUGCAAAAUACCUUUUGAGGGUUCUUUAGAUGAACCACACCGUAAUGAAGUAGAAGCUUUUAUUAACACUAUCACUGUGGGAGAAACCAGGAAGGUUUCUGAUGCAAUAAUUACUAGCAUACAUUUUCCUGUUUUACGCUACUUUGCCUUAUUUGCUAGUCGUUGCUUGAUUGGUCGCGAGAACUGUGGAAACCUUAGCAUUCCUGAUAUUAUCAUUUUGUUCCAUGGUUUAUACCGCAAUAACUCUGUUAGUAUGGGUGGAAUUGUUAAGUCUGAACCGUACUAAGGGCCCCGUCUUUGGAGGCAUUUAUGCUUCACGCCUAGCUGAAUAUUUUGAGAUACCUAUUAGGCAUGAGGAGAAGGAAGAAACAUCAUUGCCUCGUGUUUAUUUAGAUUAUAGGAGUAUUCUAGCGCAUGAUUUUCUUGUUAAGAGUCGCGAAGGGGAGCUCAAAUAUAAAUUGUACUUUGAUAAACAUCAUCCCGAGACUAUUACUUUGCCUGCUCCCUCUUUGUUUAACUUAUCUGCAGGCACUCACAUUGUUCUGUGGGCGGCCAUUCAAGCCUAUCGGAAUCCUGCACCAGCCCCAGAACCGGAGCCACAAGAUGAGCCUCCACGACUAUCUUUUUAUUCUUGGGAUCCAGAGGAGGUUGCCAGCCAGUGGCAACCGGAGCCUUCUUCAUCACAGUACGACCCCUACUUCACCUACGGGUAUCCGCCAGGCCAUCCCUGGCAAUAGACCAACUUAGGCCAAAAGCCUAAGCUUGGGGGAGUAUGUAUUUCCCACCGACAUUACAUUCAUGUUCACACACACUCAUUGCUAGAUGUCGGUGUUCAUACUCUUUCACUGUAAUAUCCAUGCUAGUUUAUUUUCUUUUUCCUGCUUUCUUCUUUUGUGUUUAAUAAACCUUAAGAAAAAUAAAAAAAUUAGUAUUAGUUUAUUUCUUUGCUGUAGUAGUAAAAAAGGGGAAAACCCAAAAAUAUUUCCCGUUCUUCUUUUGCUUGUUGGGAGCUUUCCCGUGUAAAUAGUUUUUGUUUCGUUUCUUUUUUUUGGGGUCGAGAAGACUAUAUUGAAAAUGCUUAGUGGCUCUUAUAUGCAUGAUUGAUUAUUUAAACUCAGAGCCCAUAUUACUUGUCUUCUCUCUUGAGUUGAAUGCUUGCAGAUUCCAGCUUAGUCCAAUGCACGUACACUCUUAUUAUUAUCCACAUCGUCCGGUCGUGCAAGUGAAAGGCAAUAAUGAUGAUAUAUGAUGGACUUAUUGAGGGGAGAAAAGCUGGUAUGAACUCGACCUCUCUUGUUUUUGUAAAUAUGAUGAUUCAUCGUUCUUGAUUCAGCUAUUAUGAAGUAAACAUAUUUGCAAUGACAUUUAGAGAUUAUAGUUGCUUGUGCCAUGCUUGAUUAGCUAUGAGUUAUAAUGGUUUACCUUGCGUGCCAACAUGCUAUUAGAAUGGUUAUGAUGUGGUAUGAUGGGAUGGUAUCCUCCUUUAAAUGAAUUGAGUGACUAGACUUGGCACAUGUGCACGCAUGUAGUUGAAUCUAAUCAACAUAGCCUUCAUGACAUUUAUGUUCAUGGUGGAUUAUAUCCUACUCAUGCUUGUACUCAGUGUGAAUUAAUUUUAAUGCAUGUUUACGACUGUUGUCGCUCUCUCAGUUGGUCGCUUCCCAGUCUUUUGCUAGCCUUCACCUGUACUAAGCGGGAAUACUGCUUGUGCAUCCAAACUCCUUAAACCCCAAAGUUAUUCCAUAUGAGUCCACUAUACCUACCUAUAUGCGGUAUUUACCUGCCGUUCCAAGUAAAUUUGUAUGUGCCAAACUCUAAACCUUCAAAUAAACAUUCUGUUUUGCAUGCUCGAAUAGCUCAUAUGUCAACUAGAGCUGCCCUUAUCUUCCGUGUUAGGCGGGUUAUUCUCAAGAGGAGUGGAUUCCGCUCCUCAUUCACGAGAAAAAGGCUGGUAUCCGGGAUGCCCAGUCCCAUGCUUCGUGCAAAUUAAAUCAAAAUAACUGCAAACAAAACUCCCCUUGGGACCCGUUGAAUGUUGGAGGCACUCGUUGUUUCGAGCAAGCCAUGGAUUGAUGCUUGUGGAGGAAGGGGAGUAUAAACUUUACCAUUCUGUUUGGGAACUGCCUAUAAUCUGUUUAGCAUGGAAGAUAUCGUCGUCUUUUAGUUGUUAUGUUGACAAUAAAAGUAUGCCGCUCAAAAUAUAAUUUAUCUCUAUUUCAAAACUGAGCUCUGGCACCUCUACAAAUCCCUGCUUCCCUCUGCGAAGGGCCUAUCUAUUUACUUUUAUGUUGAGUCAUCACCCUUCUUAUUAAAAAGCACCCGCUGGAGAGCACACUAUCGUUUGCAUUCAUUAUUAUUGGUUUAUUUCGGGUAUGACUUGACUGGAUCUCUUUUACCAUGAAUUACAAUGUUUAGUCAGUCCUUGAUCUUUAAAGGUGCUCUGCAUUUAUGUUUUGCGGUCUCAGAAAGGGCUAGCGAGAUACCAUUUUGUUAUACCAUGUUAUGAUUAUUUUGAGAAAGUGUUGUCAUCCGAGUUUUGCUAUUAUGGACCGCUAGCUGAUUAUGCUAUUGAUAUGAGCAAUUGUGAGACCUAAGUGUCAUUGUGAGUAUGGUUAGUUCAUAAUAAUUGCUGAUACUUGAAUGCUGGCUUUUCAUGUUUACAACAACAAGAGCAAACAGAGUUUGUAAAAGUUUUUCUUUUUCUCUUUCAGUUUGUCAACUGAAUUGCUUGAGGACAAGCAAGGGUUUAAGCUUGGGGGAGUUGAUACGUCUCUGUUGUAUCUACUUUUCCAAACACUUUUGCCCUUGUUUUGGACUCUAACUUGUAUGAUUUGAAUGGAACUAACCCGGACUGAUGCUGUUUUCAGCAGAACUGCCAUGGUGUUGCUUUUUGUGCAGAAAAUAAAGAUUCUCGGAAUGUCCUGAAACUCCACGGAACACCUUAGAAAAAAUAAAGAAAAAUCCUCGCAAAAGAUGAAGACCAGGGGGCCCACACCCUACUCACGAGGGUGGGGGGCGCGCCCCCCUGGGCGCGCCCCCUACCUCAUGGGCCCCCUGGAGACCCUCCGACGCCAACUCCAACUCCAUAUAUUGUGUUUCGGGGAGAAAAAAAAUCAGAGAGAAGAAAUCAUCGCGUUUUAUGAUACGGAGCCGCCGCCAAGCCCUAAUCUCUCUCAGGAGGGCUGAUCUGGAGUCCGUUCGGGGCUCCGAAGAGGGGGAUUCGUCGCCGUCGUCAGCAUCAACCAUCCCCCAUCACCAAUUUCAUGAUGCUCACCGCCGUGCGUGAGUAAUUUCAUUGUAGGCUUGCUGGACGGUGAUGGGUUGGAUGAGAUUUAUCAUGUAAUCGAGUUAGUUUUGUUAGGGUUUGAUCCCUAGUAUCCAUUAUGUUCUGAGAUUGAUGUUGCUAUGACUUUGCUAUGCUUAAUGCUUGUCACUAGGGCCCGAGUGCCAUGAUUUCAGAUCUGAACCUAUUAUGUUUUCAUGAAUAUAUGUGUGUUCUAGAUCCUAUCUUGCAAGUCUAUAGUCACCUACUAUGUGUUAUGAUCCGGCAACCCCGAAGUGACAAUAAUCGGGACCACUCCCGGUGAUGACCAUAGUUUGAGGAGUUCAUGUAUUCACUAUGUGCUAAUGCUUUGUUCCGGUUCUCUAUUAAAAUGAGGCCUUAAUAUCCCUUAGUUUCCAAUAGGACCCCGCUGUCACGGGAGGGUAGGAGAAAAGAUGUCAUGCAAGUUCUUUUCCAUAAGCACGUAUGACUAUUUACGGAAUACAUGCCUACAUUAUAUUGAUGAACUGGAGCUAGUUCUGUGUCACCCUAUGUUAUGACUGUUACAUGACGAACCACAUCCGGCAUAAUUAUCCAUCAUUGAUCCGGUGCCUACGAGUUUUCCAUAUACUGGUUCUCGCUUAUUUACUUUUUCGUUGCUACUAUUACAAUCAUUACAAAAUACCAAAAACAUUACUUUUACUGUCUUUCCUUUUGUUACCGUUACCAUCACUAUCAUAUUACUUUGCUACUAAACACCUUGCUGCAGAUACUAAGUUUCCAGGUGUGGUUGAAUUGACAACUCAGCUGCUAAUACUUGAGAAUAUUCUUUGGCUCCCCUUGUGUCGAAUCAACAAAUUUGGGUUGAAUACUCUACCCUCGAAAACUGUUGCGAUCCCCUAUACUUGUGGGUCAUCACUAACAUGGGCAUUCUGUUGCAUGUAGCUACCAAGCACAUGUUACAGUUCUAGUUGUUUAGCCAGUGUUACCGUUGGGUUCCAUCCACACCUAUGGUGAUGACAAGAAGCAUCAAUGCCACCAUUAAACGUGCAACAUUGUGGUUCCCAAGUAUAGUGCGGUGUCAUGGUGGGCUACAAGGGUGUAAAAAGUGGUGUAGAUAUAUCAUCCUACUCUACUUGGGGCUAAGAUUUUUUUAUCCAAGUAUGUUAAUGUAUUGGUUGGCGACUGAAAGAUAAUAAUGAUGAAGAAUGAUGAUGGCAACUUACAUGCGAACUUCAACCUCAAUUUUCUCGUAAGGCACUCCAUGGGCACAUAGAAUCUUUAAAAUACGGCGAACUAUCACAUCUUCCGGCGUGCAACAUAUAAUUUUGACUACCUUGAGAUGUGGUGAUAGCAAUGACUGUUCCUUUAAGUUACAACUUUCAUCAGUUUUGCUCAAAUGAUAAUCCUGUAGCAAACAAAAUAUUUUGUUUAAGUCAACAAAAGGUAAAUGGUAACUUCAAAGACAAGCUAUCUUACUUUGAGAAUAUAUAUACCUCAAAACUUUGAAGAUCAAGCUGAAGCGUAAGUGUCUCUAGAAUUGGUGAGUGCUGGAGAAAGUAAAUCAAUCCAGUAAAAUCAUCACCGACACACCAUUCAUUGAGCAACAAUGUUUUUAACUUGCUAAACACAGGGCGCCAUUUCAAAUCCAUUCUGAAAAUAGAUAACUGGAGAUAAAAUGAAGAAGGUUAAACCACAAUUCAAGAUCUAAAUUCAGAAGUACAAGCUCCUUUUUUAGAUAUGGAAGUACAUGCUUUGAAAGCUUUCUGAUGGCUCUCUUUUUGUAUAGCAAAUAAUAGUUAGCAUAUACUACAAUUUGUAACCCAAGCUGUACUAUAAUCUCAAUCCUACAUAUAUGAAUAGUACACAUGACUAAAUUAUCCAGUAGCGGUAUGCAUAGUAACAAAUGUGUUCAAGAAACAUCAAGAUUCAAGCAUGUGAAUUCUGGAAAACAUGCAACACAUGUAAUGAACAUGCUUGAUAAGAAUCUAUUGACAAAUAUCUUCAUGCAGACAUACAUAGAAUCUAGCGGAUGUCAAACAACAAUAGGAGGUGGCGAAAAGAUGUAUUGCACUCCAAAGAUUAUUUGGAUUGUCCAUGUGAAAUUUUUUACUUCAAUAGAUUUUCAAUGAACCAUUAGAUUAUAGUGUUAAGUUAUUUUCUACAAACUAUAAGCAUAAAUACUUGGUCAUAAGAUGUUAAUUUCGACCUUGAAAUAGACAUUCAUCUUGUUCAGUCUAAGAACUUCUACAUCAAGAUGUUGCCACAUAUUGUGAAUGGUAUUAGCAUUAAGAGGCUUCUUCGCCAAAAAACGAGCACCAAGUUCAAUAGAUCUCUUCAUUGUGUACAUUGUUGUUUCUGUUGACAUCACUGCUUAAAAAUAAAUAAAAGACUUAUCAAUGUCACAUAAAAGAAGAUGCAUGUUCAUGUAGUUGGAGACAAAUUAUUAGUGAACAAACUGAUCAAUUGAAGGUUUCUAUACAUAUCUUUGGCAGCUUCCAGGAACUGAAAGCCAUUCAACUCUUCCAUGUCCACUGCUGCCAUGACGGAAUCAACAUCAUGUGCUUUCUUUUUCAAGAAUACCAAGUGCUUCGAUGGGACUUGUAUAGACUGCCACUGGAAAGACAAGAUCAACUUCAUUAUCUGAAUGUAACGACAUCUCAGAACAUGAAAAUAAAUGGUUUCCACGAAACAUGAAAAGGUGUAUAUCUUCAUAAAGAUGAAGAUAGUUCCUCUUUCAUGAGAUUUAGAAAACCUUACCAUAAUAGUUCAAUUCAGAGAUCAUGGAUUUUGCAAAGUUGGCAUGAAACUCAUCUUCAUCAAUAACCAUCACGCUAAGCGCAUCUGAGGGCAUUCCUUUUGCAUUUUCUGCCAUGAGGUUUCUCAACACUAGAGCUCUAUUUGCUUCUGUUUUUGCGUAUGUGUGAAUGUGGCAACUGAGCAUUGGUGGCUAUUUAUAGGUCAACAAGGUUUCUUCCAUUUCACAUAUUCAUAUGUAUAAUAUAUAUAAAAAUAACAUAAUACAUUACUAUUUUUUCUUGCAAAAGAGCUAAUAGCACAAAGUGGGCGGGUGUCGUCCAUGCAUCCUACAUGGUGACACACGUGGUGGGAUAGAAUCCAAUACAACAGUAAAUGAAUCACCCCCCGCCCCCCAAAAAAGAGUUUAGCACCACAUGUAGAUUAACCAAUAACCACGAAAGUACUAGCUACAUAAUAUGUUUAGAAUAUAUACAAACCAAGCACACAUGUAUGAUCAGUUACACCUAAAGUAAUGGAGAAAUCUAUGUGUACACUUAAAUUUAUAUUUGUGUAUGGUAGACAUCGAAUUCAAAAACGACAAAGCGUAAUGACAUAACACAUUAUCGCAUGGAUGCGACGAUAACGUAAAAAGAAAACCACAUUUAUAACCACAUUUUUUGGAGGAGCUGCACUGAGCAGCGAUUCUACAUGUAAGUUGUGGGGUUAGUUGGCCGCAAAACUUUUUUUAUUGCAAGUUUAGUUCUGUUUGUAUUUGUGCAAAAAAGGACAUUUCAGAGUGAUUAGUGCACUUGAAACCACAACUUUUUGGUGCUGGCACGGUCACUGGCUGAACUAAUCAAAAUGACAAAGUGAUGUCGCAUGGGUGUGAACACAAUGUAAUGGCGAGAUCAAAGUUAUAAUCACAAUCUCCUAAAGAGUUGUGAUAUUGUUAAACAAUGAACUUAGAGUCAGUGUUUACGUGUGACCCUCAAAUUUUAGAAUUAAAUAACAUUACAUUUAGUGGUGAUUUCCUCUGUGAGGUCCACAAGUCUGCACUAGAUACACAGUUUCAAACAUAAUAGAGUACUCUACUUUAAAUACUAGUUGAUCAUAAGCAGUCUAAUCAACAUGGUUUCUAAAUUUUGAAUAGUGAAAUUUCGUAUGGACCGCUAGAAACUAGAAUGGGUAUAAAAUGGGUGGCGCCAUUUGGAUGGUCUGAUGCCAUUGGUCAGCGGAUAUCCCAUAUGGGUGGUUAGAAGUUAUAAUGGAUACAAAGUGGGUUGCAACCUUUGGACGAUCAAAUGUCACCAGUCAGCAGAUAUCUCGUAUGGAUGGUCAAAAGUUAGAAUGAUUACAAAGUAGGCUGCAUGCUUUGGAUGGUAUGAUGUCACCAGUCAAGAUAUCCGGUAUGGAUGGUCAGAAGUUAGACUAGAUAUAAAGUGGGCUGCACUCUCUGGAUGUUUGUGAUAUUAGUUACACUACAUUAACUAUAGUGUUUAUGUUCUCGCACCCCUCAACCACCAAUUGUCUCAAAUAAAUGAAUCUAGCUCUUGUUUUAAUCAAAUCAGGUUGUGUAGAUUACCAUGGUUUCAGAUUUACAUAUGGUGGUCUCUCUAUGACGUGUGUGCAGUCAUAUUUCUUCAUGCAUGCAGCCUAAACAAGCGAAUGUUUGUCACACUGGCUUUUGGUGUAUAUGCAUACCACUUCCCAAUGUACAUUUUCCUUUUGAAUUACUGAUCAAACACCCUUAUACAACUAUAAAGACAUCACAGACAUAGACUCUAUUAUGUUUUCUUCUUUGAGAAACACAGUACAAAGGUAGACAUUCACAUACAUGCACAAACACUCAUCCCUAUGAAAGCACACUCAUAGCCCAUCUCUAUAAGCACCUCCGAGAGAUAAUUAUCAUAAUAUUUCUUUCACAGAUAAGGUAAGCAUCACCACUGUCAGAAAGAAAGAGAUGAAACAAUUUAUUCAAUAAAUGCACAGUGACUCAUGUCUGUUGUAUAUUAUAGUGUCGGAUAGGAAACUAUGGUACAGAUGUGUACUACAACUUGAGCAUGUAGUUGAUGAGAUGCUUUAAUAAAUAUAUAUUUUCAUAAAUACAUGACCAUUAUUAUAGUUUGGUACGUACAUGCAAAAACAUACAUCAUAAUGGCUGGGGUACCUUCACCGUAAUGAGGUAGGGUCAUCGCCGGUACCCAUGUCUGACGUGUACAUGCCCAACCAAAAAAAGCAGCGCGGCUUGCCUCCACCAUUGCUCACGGCGAGCUCGUCUAUGUCUGGGCCGCACCCAUUUGGUCAUAGUGGGGAUGUAACCAGCGGAUUUUUUUUAUAUUUUCUUGCCUCGCUCAACACCAUUAAUAACCAAAAUUGACGGAAUUUCAUAUUUGGAACAAAACUUCGACCAUGUGUCAAACAGGGAAGAUUUUUGAUAAGCUUGUACGCACAAAUAUCUGCAUACAAACAUACAUGGAAUCUAGCGGAUGUCAAACAACAAUAGGAGUUAGCAAAAAGGGAGCAUACUCGUGGAUCAUAUAUUUUCAACUUGAAAUUUGUAGCACCUGACAAACUUUCCAGACCACGGGAUAGUGUGUUUCACUAGCUUGAGCACGACAUCCCUCACAUGAUGGAUUGCGACAGUAACACAGUUCCUCCUCACAACCUUCUCCAAGCUUUACAGAUGUCGUUACCCGUGAUGGCAUAUGCUAUCAAGCAAAGGAUCCCAGCCCCAAACGUAGGGCUAUUCUGAAGACAAUAAGAUUUGGGGUGGAAAUACGAAUGCGGUCAUCAAUACAAAAACUUUCACCAUGAAUUUUAAGAUGUCGUAAUGAUUGGGACAAGAUAUUCUCAUAGAGAUCACAACUUAUCAUCUCUAACACCUCUAGCACCUUACAACUUGAAAAGCUGAGAGAGCAUCCCUCAAAGUGCAUGCCUCGAGAUGUAAGCUCUUCAAGUGUGUGACCAGAUGAGAGUUGUGUCGAUUACCCGCCAAGGAAAACAAAUUUUAAGCACUUGAACUUGAGAUGAUAGAGCAUACCAGAGCCAUGGCUCCAUAUGUUGGAAUGCCUCGUAGGCCCAUCCGGUGUUGUCAGCCGCAGUCUCCUGACAAUCGGAAGUGAUAUCACAUACAUUUAGAGGAGUUGGGUCACAAAGACUAAGCAACUCGUUCACAAAUCUGCUGGAGCCACUAACACCGUCGUAGCUGUCGGGGUCAUCGAUGCGCAGGGCGGGCACAGACUUCCAGAGAGUGCUCCAGCGCUUAGCAAGAGCGCACGUCCACACAGAGCCGCGGGAAGGCGGUAACGACAUAAGAUAGCAGAGAAGAUAGUUUGGGAGGGCCCUGAGGCAGUCCUCCCCCCGGCUAGAGUCGUUUCCAUGGUUUCCUCAUCAUUAAGCCUCUCAAACAUUAUGUUGAAAAGGUUGCCUAUGCCGAAGCUGUAGAGUUGCUGGAUGUGGUGAGCCAGUGAGUGAGAGCAGCCACAUGGAGAAGACACACAAUAAUCAUGAUCUCACUAGAUUAGCUCACCUUCAGCCGCCGCUAGUCAUGCUCCUCCUCCUCCUCCUCCUCCUCCUCCUCCUCGACGGUGCUCAGUUCUCCAAGCAACACAAGAGGAGACUCUUCUCUCAUGCCUUCUCACCUAUAACUUGGUGGGACAGGAAAAUAGAGAACGCCAAAGAAAGGGUGAAAGGGAAAGCGAUGGGUGUUUGAUGGAUGUGGGUUGUUCUUAUAGAAAAGAACUUGUAUUUAAUACUAGAAGGGUCUCGAAGGAACCAGAAAAGCUGCUUUAGUAACAAUGUUGGCACAAUAUGAGAGCGGAUGAACCGAAGCGGCGACAAAUGGUCCAGAUUAUCUUGUCAUUCAUUGUAUUACGAGAUAUGUGUCAUCCUCUCACCCAGAGAGAGCCAAAUAAGAAAAUGCAACAUUGAAUACACGUCAUGGUUUAUAACUGACAAGAUGGUUGGGACCAUCGCAUUAUGUCAUCGGCGUGUUAAUGAAUGCUGAGGUGAAGGGCAGAGGCUCCAUGGUUGGAUGGUACUUAUCAAUUCAACCAUGUGAGCAUAACGACUGCCACUGCACCAACCUUUUUCUAUCUCAUGUGAUCGAGCGCGUAUCGCCUAAGAUGGAGGAAGGUGUUGCAACUACUCCAUGGAGGGGUCACAUAUUUCCUUAUUCUGGAGGCGGAUGCGAUUGGAUACACAUUUGUUUGAGCUUUAGACCUGCAUUGAUUAGGUUGAGGGUGGUUAUGAGUUCAGGUUUUGUUGGUGGAUGGGUUCAGUCUGGCGUUUGAAUAUUCCAUGUCUUGUGUGCACAGUUCCUUGGUCCUCACACUCUUAUAUGUUUACUAGAUGACCCAGUGUGCCAAUUAGCGUAGAGACCAACAGAAACCCAGAAGUUAAGCAAACUAUUUGAAGGAUUUUUUUCUCAACUGUGUGCUAAUUAUUACACUUGUGAAGUGUUUCUAUUUGCCUUGAUGGUGAUAAUUUCCCAUAGCUUUCUUUGGAGAUUUGUUUUUGAUGCUCCGACCUUUCCAUGUAUGGUAACUAUGAUAGGAAAACAACAAUUGGGAAAUUAGGUGUACCAUUUGAAGGAAUUUUCUAGUGAAUAUCCUAUAAGUAAUUAUAUUUGUAUCGCCUUUGUAUAUUUACCAAUGACAGACAAUGACGAUUGUUGCCUAGGUGUUUCGCUAGCUAGGCAGGGCAACCCAAUGGCCGGAUUGACAGGAAGUCCGACCGCACCCCCACCCACGGCAACCGACCUCAACCGUCAGAACCACAUGCCCCACCGAACCAACCCUCUAUCUAGCAAGGCCAGAUCAUCCAAAGGCCGGGCAGAGAUCACAAAACACGCCUACAAUACCAUAAAGCUAGGCAAUCUAUGGGCGGCACAUAUAGUAGACAUUCUUUUUAUGAAUACCUUUAGCUCGUGAUGACAACUUGAACAUCUCUGAUUGGCGCAGAGACUAACCCUCUGGCAGUAUCAACUCCUAUGGCAAUAUGGCACAAUUCUUGACUUAUUUUACCCUCUCUUUCGUUUGCAUUCAAACUGUAUCAGGAACCGUCCUGGUUUGCCGAUAGCUUCUCAUGUCCUUCUUUAGCCGGCCAGGGCAACCCAACAAUCGGGUCAAUAGAGAGGACGAUCACACCCUUCCCCCCUAUGGUACAUGAAUUGAACCAUCAGAACCAGGACUACUAUUCUUAACAACCGAGGUGACUCGGAACCAUCGGGGAAGAUAAAAAGUCCAAAUAUCGGGCAGCCAACUAAAAACAAGGCAUCCAACCAACAGGCCACGAGGGAAGUAGGCCGUGGCACAACCUGACAUCCACCUAACAAUGAACGAAACAGCCCAGCAGGACGCGACCGAUGCGCACACUGAGCCAGGCAAUCGUGCAUGCCCUACGUGUUUUUCAAUGUGAGAGCCCGUCUUUCUUUAACACCGCUAACUUGAAAACAAAAAUACUGAUCAGACGAGACAUUUUGGAACGUAUUCCCGGACUCUCAAAACCAACUUCACGGAGUCAUCGAUACUAACGGACCAAAUAUGAAAUCUGUUCUUGCUCAUACCAAACAUCAUCUUCUGCUCUAUAUCAAUUAUUGCGUCUCCUACUUCCUUCCUUCCUUCUCCAUUUUUCUUAUUUCCUUAUAAACAAUAUUUUGUCUUCAUGUAUGGCCUCUUUUUCUGUGAAAAUAAAAUAAACGAAGGAUUUUGCGAUCUCUCGCAUUCAUUAGUCAUUAGUGGCAAUAUUGUAGUGAUUUUCUCAGAAUUUCGAAGAUUAUCCUGUUCAAACAACGGUGUGAUGAGCGUAAAAAUAUCAGUCAUCAACCUCCCCAAGCUUAAACCUUGACCAUCCUCGAGCAACAAAGAUAGAAAUCCAAUAAUAAGAAACUCAGUUGUUUAGAGAGUUGAAUAACAAUUGGUUGUUUGCAUGAAUUAUAUGUUGGUGCUGAGAGUAAUACGUAUAAACUGGUGGUAAGAUAAAAGCUUGCAUGGCCUUGUAGAUAACUGAAGUUGAUAACUAGAUUCUUGCAAUUGUCGAGCUAGAGAUGUAUAAGAGGAUCUCGUUCUUUAGUAUUUGAUGCACUCUUGAUACUUCUCUGAAGUAUCUAUAACUUUUUUAUUGUUUCAUGCUAUUAUAUUAUCAAUCUUGUAUGCUUUAUAUGUCAUUUUUAUAUCAUUUUUGGGAACUAGCCUAUUAACUCAGUGCUCAGUGAUUGUUCCUAUUUUCUGCUUGUUUUUGGUUUUUCAGAAAAUCCAUACCAAACAAAGUCCAAAGAUGAUGAAACUUUUUGAUGAUUUUUUCUGGACAAAAAGAUACCCUAGAAGCUUCAGAAGGAGCCCAGAAGACAUACGAGGGAGGCACAAGGCAAGGGGCGCGCUGUGGAGGGUAGUGCGCACCAUCAACAUUCCCUAUCAUGCUCUGGUGUAUCAGUAGGCCAGGAAUACAUCCAUAAAGCCACAGAACAUCAAAAUCUCACCGAAAGUCGUUAUUUCGAUGGCGCCAAAGGCUGAACUCGGGCCUUCGACCCAUGAUUCGACCAUGCCAUGUUACCCGACCAACAAUGUAUUAAUUUAGUUUCAUAUAGUUAGCCACUUCUCGGAUGCAUUUGAUAUUUUCGCGAUGGUCGCAACGAGUCAUCUAUUUGUAUAAAGUAAGGUACAAUUAGCCCCAUGCCAUAUAUGCCUACUGUUUUAGUCACUAUUCCAUGUUACUAGGCCUAUCCCUAGGGGUGCGUGACAUGUGCGAUGGGACGCGGCCUUCAAUUUUUAGGGCCCCCGAAUUUUCUUUUUGUUGCAGUGGCGCUCUGAAUUUCUGACCUGUCAAUUCAGCCACAUGCUAACCCACAUGUUAUAGGCCAAUUAAUGCCACUUGGGCAUGUGGUUGCACAUGUCAAUUCCUAUUCAUCGCUUAUUUGUGGCAGAUUGUCUAAGUUCCGCACAUGCAACACACUCUUGGAGCGACCAAUUCGCGCCAAGUUUCCUAGUUUUAGGAACCUUCUAGAAGGUUUCGGUAUGGUUCAGGUAGGUUUUUUCUCUUCCUUUUGGUUGUUUUACCGGUUUUCUUCUGAUUCAAUAAUUGUUCGGAAAGAAAUCAUUGAAAUUUCAAAAAUUGUUCGCCGUUCCAAAAAUGGUUUUGGAAGUUUCAAAAAGUGUUCGCUUUUUCAAUGAAUAUUGACAAACCUGAAAUAAUUUUGUGUUUUCAAAAUAUGUUUGCUGUUUUCAAAGCAAUUUGAAACGCACUACAGUAAACCUCGUGCUUUGCUAUGUGCGCCGCACCCUGUACGUACUCCCGUUGGGCAUGGCCAUAAGGCAAAGGUCCUGGAUUCUCUAAAAUAAAAGGCAAGGGCCCUAGAAUCAGGAAGCAGGCCUGCCUGGACAACUCGACGAGCGACAGGGCCUCUCCAUGUCAGACAGAGUGAGCAGUGGGAAAAAAGGCCGUUGAGCGCACCGCAGCCGGUAUGAUACCCGGACAACAUCGUGAGCUAUAGCCGGACAACGCAGCAGGCCCUUACCAUUGCUGGUGGCCGAGGGCAGCUACACGCGAACAGAGCCCUGGCUGGUACUUUCCCAUAUAGAGGGAGAUCGAGGUGGCGUGCAGCUGACUCUACGGGUGGAGUUGGGUUCGUCGGCGACCUGGAUGUCCAUGAGGGACGCCUAGUCGUCUUUUUCGUCCAAACUGGUACGAUGUCGUUCUCACUCAUGAUUUUCUUUACAAGAAUAGCGAACUAGUAUAUCUAGUAUAAAUCGGAGAGUAAGCUAUCUUGUUUCUUAGUUUCUAGCACUCACGAUUCAAUCUUAUUGGAAUGUCUUGGUCAAUCUUGCAAAGAAAAUAAUGACACUUUGAUUAGGCCCCUAAUAUUACCUUCAACUCACCAUAGAGUCUAGUGAGAUUUCAGGUCCAUACUCAAUAAUAUCUAGUUGAAUUAAGGUAUCUCCUGUUAAUCAGAAUCCUCGGAAUCUGGAUAGUCUACAAGGCCCUCAACUGGAACCUUACUUAUGUUGGAGACUUGGUCAUGAUGAUAAUUGUUCCGGAAUGUGAUUGCUUGUGUAGCUCUUGAAUUGUAUGUUUGAGCAGCAACUUGAUCACGACUAGAUGAAUUUGAGCCAUUAGCUUCAUCAACAAUGCCAUCUUCUCCUGUUAUAUGUCCUAUAACUUCACAUGGUUCGUCACUAGAAGGACCAUUGGAAUACUGGAACUCGUCAAAAACAGCCCCAAGUUGUAAGGCUCUUCGCAUUGCUGCAGAUACAUCAACGCCUUGAGUGUCUCCAAACAAGUUUGGCAUCUGAGAUGAAUUAGAAAGACUAAUUAAUCACUGAAGUGUUAACUUUAUUUUCUGAGUAAUAUAAUAUAUAAAUAACUUUCCAUUGUUAGCUCACCAUUGUUCUUUGGACAUCGUCUUCUGAAUGAUAGCCCGACAUGUAAGGGAUUGUAUGACGAGUCUUCACGGAUUUAGAACUUGAGGCACAAUUCCCGUAGCUAUCCAUAAACAUUGCCAUGUUUUGUUCCCUUUUCAUACGCUUUCGAUGUUUCUUGAAAAUAUAAAAUACACAAUUAUUAGUAGACAAUCAUUCAAAGAUGAAAACUUUAGCUUCAUAAAUUAGGUACUAGAAAACACUAUAUAACAUCAGGCCUUUCGUUUUGUUGUUCAAUUCAAAAAUUUGGGUUCACUGUUCAUCUGUAUUGUUAACUUAUAAACAAAAGCAUUUUAUAUUAAGUUUUCUAAUACAAGACACUUUGGCUUAUUUCAGUCAAAUUACAUGUUUGACUUAGCUCAUUUGAAAUGACUCCAUACAUGCUCCAGAGUUCAAUAAAUGUGUAUUGGGAACACACCUGCAGAUGCGCAGAAAUUUGUUUCCUCGUAACAGUAUCCACGUUCAUGAUUAUCUUUAUCUUGCUGGGCGAUGCAUCUGAAAUGAAUUAACAGGUACAAUUUCAUAUUAUCGAUUUUAAAUCGAGAAAGGCUAAUCCUGAAGUGAAAGUGCUUGGGCCUAAGAUGGGUAGUUACUUGCUCCAAGUAUUUGAAGGGCAUAUAAAAACUUGCUCUCCAGGAAAGGUAUCCAUUUGAAAUGAGUGGUCGUUUUAGUUCCAUCCUUUUGCUGUUCUACAGACUCUCCAACUUCUUCUCCAUCUUGCGCUUUAUCUCCAACACCUGCGUGUGCACAACAUAAUACUUUAAUAUUUGCAGUUUCAUGUUUUCGUGCAAUCCAAAGGAAGACAAGACUUAUUUUACUUGACACAAUUCAGGUUACUACCACAUUGAGAAAAUUAAUAUAAUGUUCUGGAAAGCAUGCACUAAAACAGAUGUCUCUAACUUGUACUACUAUUAUAUAUAGCUAAUUGGGCGUUCAUAAACGGAGGCAUACAUAUUCUAGUGACUCAACACUCAUAUCCGACAUAUACCUUACACCCAACAUAUUGUAAUGUAGGAAGUGAUUUGAUUUGAUUUGACUGAGUUAAUGCAAAAUAUUUGAUUUGGUUUGAUUGAGUUAAUGUAAAAGAUUUGCUUUGAUUUUCGAUUUGUCCAUGUCCGACGUAUAGCUAGAAUGACCGAUUUAAUUUGAUUGAGUUAAUGCAGUUAUCUUACACCCACCAAGAGAGGCAUUGCAAAAUAUUUAAUUUGAUUUGAUUGAGUUAAUGCAUGCCGUGGGCAAGGGGAGGCUUCACCAAUGAACAUGCGACACCAACUCACCUUAUUGGUAGAGACUCAUUCCAUUUCAAAGCACCUAUCUUUUGAACCUCUUAAACUUUUGCCAAAAAAUAAUGNNNNNNNNNNNNNNNNNNNNNNNNNNNNNNNNNNNNNNNNNNNNNNNNNNNNNNNNNNNNNNNNNNNNNNNNNNNNNNNNNNNNNNNNNNNNNNNNNNNNNNNNNNNNNNNNNNNNNNNNNNNNNNNNNNNNNNNNNNNNNNNNNNNNNNNNNNNNNNNNNNNNNNNNNNNNNNNNNNNNNNNNNNNNNNNNNNNNNNNNNNNNNNNNNNNNNNNNNNNNNNNNNNNNNNNNNNNNNNNNNNNNNNNNNNNNNNNNNNNNNNNNNNNNNNNNNNNNNNNNNNNNNNNNNNNNNNNNNNNNNNNNNNNNNNNNNNNNNNNNNNNNNNNNNNNNNNNNNGUUCUUGAAAACAUGGAAGGAGAUAGUAAUUAUUUGCCUUGGUGAAGAAAAAGAGAUAGACAUGAAAAUAAUUCAAGAGAAGCAAUGAUAUUUUACUCUUACUCUUAUGUUUCGUGCCAAUCUAUAAAAAGAAAUCUACUUUGAAAUGGAUGUAUUGUACUCCAAAGACAGAUUGGAUUGGCCAUGUGAAAAAUUGUACAUUAAAAUAGAUUUUCAAUGAACCAUUAGAUUAUAGUGUUAAGAUAUUUUCUAGAAACUAUAAGCAUAAAUAUUUUGUCAUAAGAUGUUAAUUUCAACCUUGAAACAGAUACUUCAUCCUGUUCAGCCUAAGAACUUUUACAUCAAGAUGUUGCCACAUAUUGUGAAUGGUAGUAGCAUCAAGAGGCUUCUUCGCCAAAAAACGAGCACCAAGUUCAAUAGAUCUCUUCAUUGUGUACAUUGUUGUAUCUACUGACAUCACUGCUUUAAAACAAAUAAGACUUAUCAACGUCACAUAAAAGAAGAUGCGUGUGCAUGCAGUUGGAGACAAUUAUUAGUGAACAUACUGAUCACUUGAAGGUUUCGAUGCAUAUCUUUGGCUGCUUCCAGGAACUGAAAGCCAUUCAACUCUUCCAUGUCCACCGCUGCUAUGACAAAAUCAACAUCAUGUGCUUUCUUUUCAAGAAUACCGAGCGCUUCUAUGGGACUUGUAUAGACUGCCACUGGAAAACAAGAUCAACUUCACUAUCCGAAUGUAAUGACAUCUCAAAACAUGAGAAGAAAUGGUUUCCAUGAAACAUUGAAAAUGUAUAUUUUCAUAAAUAUGAAGAUAGUUCCUCUUUCACGCGAUGUAGAAAACCUUACCAUAAUAGUUCAAUUCAGAGAGAAUGGAUUUUGCAGAGUUGGCAUGGAACUCAUCUUCAUCAAUGACCAUCACGCUGAGCGCAUCUGAGGGCCUUCCUUCUGCUCUUUCUGCCAUGGGGAUUCUCAAACCUAGAGCUCUAUUUGCUUCUAUUUUCUGUAUGCGUGAAUGUGGCAAUUGGGCAUUGGUGGCUAUUUAUAGCUCAACAACGUUUCUUCUAUUUCACACAGUCAUGUUUAUAUAAUAUAAAAAAUUAAUACAUUACUAUUAAAAAAUGCAAAAGAGCUAAUAGCACAAAGAGGGCAGGUGUGGUCCAUGCAUCCUAUAAGGUGACACACAUGGUGGGAUAGAAUCUGACACAACAAUAAAUGAAUCACCCCCCCUCUCCCAAAAAAAGAGUUAUCACCAAAUGUAGAUUGUUCAAUAACCACGAAAGUACUAGCUACAUAAUGUGUUUCAAAUAUAUACAAACCAAGCACACAUAUAUGUACGGAAAUGAUAUGUUUCACCUAAAGUAGUGGAGAAAAUCUAUGUGUACACUUGUAUUUAUAUUUGUUUAUAGAAGGCAUCGAAUUCCAAAACGACAAAGCGUAAUGACAUAACACAUCGCAUGGAUGCGACGACAACGUAAAAACAAAAUCACAAUUAUAACACCAUUUUUCGGAGGAGCUGCAUUCAGCGGCAAUUCUACAUGUAAGUUAUGGGUUCAGCUAUCCGCAAAACUUUUUUGUAUUGCAAGAUUAUUCUAUUUGUAUUUGUGCAAAAAAGGAUGUUUCAAAGUGAUCAGUGCACUUGAAACCACAACUCUUUGGUGCUGUCGCAGUCACUGGCGGCACAAAUCAAAAUGACAAAGUGAUGUCGCAUGGAUGUGAACACAAUGUAGUGGCGAGAUCAAAGUUAUAAUCACAUUCUCCUAACGAGUUGCAAUAUUGUUGAAACAAUGGACUUAGAGUCAGUGUUCAGUGUGACCCUCAAAUUUUAGAAUUAAAGAACAUUACUUUCAGAGGUGAUUUCCUACGUGAGGUCCAUAAGUCUGCACUAGAAACAAAGUUUCAAACAUAAUAGAGUACUCUACUUUAAGUACUAGUUGAUCAUGGCCAAGGAGUCUAACAUGGUCUCCAAAAUUGUGAAUAGUGAAAUUUGGGAUGGCUGGAAACUAGAAUGGGUACACAAUGGGCGGUGCCGUUUGGAUGGUCUGAUGUCACUGGUCAGUAGAUAUCCAAUAUGGGUGGCCAAAAGUUAGAAUGGAUCCAAAGUGGGUUGCAUCCUUUGGACGAUCAGAUGUCACCGUUCAGCAGAUAUCGGCUAUGGCUAGUCAAAAGUUAGAAUGGCGACAAUGUGGGCUGCACCCUUUGGAUGGUCUGAUGUCACCGGUCAGCAGAUAUCUGGUAUGGGUGGUUAGAAGUUAGAAUGGAUACAAAAUGGGCUGCACUCUUUAGAUGUUCGUGACAUCAGUCUCACUACAUUAACUAUUGUGUAUAUGUUCUCACACCCCUCAACCACUAAUGGAUCUCAAAUAAAUGAACCUAGCUCUUGUUUUUAACCAAAUCAGGUUGUGUAGAUUCAUGGUUUCACAUUUACACAUGGUUGUCUUUUUAUGACAUGUGUCCAGUCAUAUUUCUCCAUGCACGAACAAGUGAAUGUUUGUCACACUGGCUUUUGGUGUAUAUGCAUACCACCUUCUUUUUAGAAAAAAGGCCGAGGCCCGGCAUUAAAUCAAUGACGCCCUUACAGACCGAUAUGCCACGAAAGCAACACAAAACAGAAAAAGAACAGAGCAACACAACAACUCAAGAUACAAGACACACAAGAAACAACUAAUCCGCCGCCGCCGCGAACGUGCCGAAGAGGAGGGAAACCAUGGAGGGUGAUCCAACACCGGAGGAAGCCCAUUUGUCGUCAAGACCCUGAGAACACACACGGCCGGCACGCCCUCUAGUUCUGCCUCCGAAGAGGGCACACCCUGCCCUCUUGCCCUAGCUCGUAGGGCGCCGCGCCGUUGGAAGGCGGAGAUGCUCUACCCGAGCACGUGUGGACAUGGCACAUCCGGUGGCCUAAAGGGACGAAGACAGGAAUGAGUGCCUCACCUCGCAGAGCCACCACACGCAGGCAGCACUCGCCGCUGGCACAAAUUGCAGCAUAAGACCCAGGUUAUCGAACUAGAGGCAAAGAAGAGGCCGGGAAAAAAAUGCAUCCACCCCUGCCACUAGAGUGUUGCCCCAUGAAGAACACCGGCCGCCAUGGCGGCCAAACUUCAGUGCAAGAGCCGAGCCUGCCACCCCGCUGUCCAAAGGUGGCGCCUUAAAGAAGGUGACGACGCCGGAGCGCCACCGCCGCCCAAAUGGAGGAUUUUAGGUUUUCACCAGGGACACAUGGGGGGGGGGGGAGGGAUGUACCUCGGUGUCGCCCAGAAGAGGGAAAACGCGCCCGCUGCGGGUCGACCUCGUGGCCGUCACUGCCGGCCAAGGGUUUCCCUGAUCCGCUCCCUCGACCCUAAGCACACCACCCAGCCUGCAGGCCCGACGAACCAGAGGACGCCGGAGUCCUGAGCAGAUGGGGCUCGCCGGGGCGCGCACGGAGAUGCUGCCCUCUUUAGAUCUGGCGCAGGGAACCGGCGGAGUCAGCUCCCGCACCGAGCCGCCGACCACCGCCUCCUCGUUGCCCGUGCAACCAAGGAUGCGUCUCCGUGUGCCGGUGACCGCCGCCUACUGCCAUGCACGCGCCACCCUCGCUGUUAGGGCCGCCGCCCCAGAUCCAGUGUCCUACACGAACCAUGGGGCGGAGAGGAGCCGCGCCGCCACCUUCCUUGGUGGUCGCACGGCCCAGCCGGUGACCCCUCAGGUAGCGGCGAGAAGGGGGAAGGGGAGGGGGAGGUGGUGGACAGUGCUAGGGUUUCGCCCCCGGGUCGCCACCGAGGGGCGACACUAGGGAGGGGAGAAGCCGAUCACCUCAUAUGCAUACCACUUCCCAAUGUACAUUUUUCCUUUUGAAUUACUGAUCAAACACCCUUAUACAACUACGAAGAUAUCAUAGAUAGAGACUCUAUUAUAUUUUCUUCUUUGAGAAACACAGUACAAAAGGCAGACGUUCACAUACAUGCACGAACACUCGCCUCUGUGAACACACACACUCAUAGCCCAUCCCUAUGAUCACCUUCAGGAGACAAGACCAGCAAAUCUUAAGACUAAAGGCGAGCCAAAAAAUAGAUAAUUAUCAUAAUAUGUCUUCCGCAAAUAAGGUAAGCAUCAUUACUAUCAGGAAAAAUGAGCUGCAACAUUCCCUUCGUUAAAUGCACAGUGACUCGUGUCUGUUGUAUAUAGUGUCGGAUAGGAAACUAUGGCACACAUGUGUACUCCGGCUAUGAGCAUGUAAUUGAUGAGAUGCUUUAAUAAAUAUUUUUCGUAAAUGCAUGACCACUAUUAUAGUUUGGUACAUUAGAAACAUGCAAAAACAUACACCACAAUGGUUGGGGCACCUGUGGCCGUAAUGAGGUAAGGUUAUCGUCGGUACCCAUGUCUGAUGUGUAUGCCAACAAAAAAAAGCUGCACGGCUUGCCUCCACCAUUGCUCACGGUGAGCUCGUCUUCGUUUGGGCCACACCCACCGGUGGAGUUGGAGUCCUCAGCUUCCUUGUAGAGAGCGGAGAGGAUAAUGGGUUAUGUCGACACCCUCGUCUAGAGAGUCCUUCAGCCUAUUGAGAGACAACAAGCUACUGAUCACACCGUUAUAGGAUCUCAAGUGGCUCGCCGAGGAGGCCACCUCCCUGACCUCUAGAAGCUCGCCCUGAGGAAUUGAGAGAGAUAUAGAGAAAUGGUGGUGACUAUGCAGGAUCUGGUCCGCGGUGCGGUGUGGGUCAUUCUGCGAAAUAUAUACCAUCCUUGAAAUGGGUCUAUUGGGUCGAUAUAUUUGCACAGUGGUCUAUCUAUCAUCAAUUUUGAUGUGAAUGACCACAUUGCAAAUGGUGAACAAGUACAUAUUUUGUCUAUCAUAUGCCACACAAGCGUUUCUAAACAACCGUGUGCAAUGUUUCUUGCACACAUUUCUGAUGCCUUAGUGUGCGACACGCGGUGCUAAUAGGUAUGUUAUGUAGUAGUAGCCAUUGUAGGCAUAGACCUAGUCAUCCAUGUACAACUUCGGUUGUUCAUCUUUAUGUAAAUAUGCUAGUUAAAAUUUAAGAAAAUAUGAUGUUAUAGCAAAAAUUAUUAUGAAAGUUCAGAUACUGGACUUCAACUCUUCCUGCACGGUAGCAGUAGACCCCCCCUCCCCCGCCCCUGCGUCAUCUCCUUAGAGGCAACUCGGGGGAAACCCUAACCUCCGCCGCCGCACCCCUCCUCCCCCCUCCCCUUCCCCUCCGCCGCCGCCAGAGGUGUGCGCCGGCGUACGCUCGACACCGAUGAAGGUGGUGGCAAGGGAUCUGGCGGCUCCACAUAGCGUGGAGGGCCUCGGCAUCCGGGGCGGCGGCUCCCUCGGUCUCACGGGGGACGAGGAGGCGUCGGUCCACGGUCGCUGGUGUGCGGCCUCCCCCGCGCGGUUGCCACCGCAAGAUGCAUCUCAUCCUCUCCGCCCCGAUCUGCUCCUUCCAUCGCCGGAUCCGGGUCCUAGUGGCUUAGGCCGUUCUUCCCAGGCACCGGCAGCGCGGAUCUUGUCGAGUGGGGUUGGAUCCGGUGGAAACCCCUGGCCAACGCAGCCACACCAGAGGCGACGCUCUGGGUGCCGUACCCUCCCUGGAGGCUGUGGUGAGGAUCCUUCUCCCCCUCCUUCCAUUCCUUCCUAUGUGAAAGCCUAGGUCCCCUGUUUCGGGCGGCGCCGACACAUCCAUGUCGUGUUCCUUCUUGGAGGCGCAGUCCAGGGAUCGUAGGGGCGGCGAGAGAGUCGGGUUGUGGGUGUGAUGGUGGCGGGUGGCAGCUUGGCUCGGCACUUGACUGCCUUUCUUCGGUGGCUCGCUGUUACCCUUGUUGCUGCGACGGUGGCCGAUAGCUCUAGCCCUUCGGUGUGGCUUAACCGCGGAUGACGACGGUGCUUGGAAUGGUGUGCUCUGAGUUAGCAGGUCUGCUCCUAGUUCUUUCUUCAUGCGCAGCUUGGACGUCUUCCUCUGGGUUCUAGGGUGAACCGAGCUGCCGCCUGCCGGUGCGGCAUCCUUCGAGCUAGGAUGAGAGGGCAGGGGCCCUUUGCAGCGGCAGUUCCAGAGGAGUGUCAGUUUUUGUCUUCGAGUUUGGCUACGAUCACGAAGCUUGCGCGGUGGUGCAUCCUCUCAAGUCCGUAGUUUUGUCCGGUUGGUGUAGGUCGUCCUGUAGGGUGAUGGCGGCAGCAUGGCGUGCUUGCUAUCGCUGCUGCCUUUGAGUCUGUUUCGCUUUGCUACUUGUAUCGGCCGCUUGUUUCUCUUCUUGCUUUUCCUUGUAAGUUGGUGAUCUUGUGUGGCACCCCGAUCCACAUGGAGCAGGGGGCCUUCGCACGUCAGCCCAGGAUAACACCUGACGCACGACAGGUCCAUGAUACAGCAUUCCAGGUACAAGAAUAUUCAUCAAAUACAUGUGUAUAUAAUUACAUCAGUGAUGAAUAUAAUCUUUUGGCAUAGCCCUAAGGCUAUUUACAUGGCAGCGGAAGUCUAUUAAAAUGACGGCGAAAAGUCUUGGCAGCAUAACACUCUGGCUGGGCUCCACAACUCACAGGACUGGCAAGAUUAUGGCCUAGCACGACGGAACAAGUGAACCACCUACAAAACUGGCAUGACACGCCAGGUCAGUACAUUGAAUGUACUUGCAAGACAACCAAAUACAUAGCAUCCAAACAAACAAGCGACAAGGCAAGAACCAAGCGUAAGCAGCAACCUAACUCAUAUCAAAAACUAAGCAUGGCAUAAUAUCAAGCGAAGACAUAAAUCAGACUAACAUCAUGGCAUCCACUAGCAUGGCAACAACAUGGCAUAGCAAUUUUAUGGCAACGGCUAUCAAUAGUUUAAAUACACUCUGCAGAGGUUAGUACACUGUACCCACAAUACGGAACCCAUGGCCUCGCACUCCCAUUCGGGCGGACCAACGGCGUUCUGACAAAACCGAUCUACUGCCAUGACACUCUCCCGGCCACUCCAACUCACUCCCCUCUGGGCUGUCAUGGGUGGCCCCGUGUCUACCACAAGACACAACAAUCACCGUCGUGGCCAAAACAUGAACGAUCCCACACGGGGAUCCGCCGGCUAUAACAACUACGGGCACGCAAGGCUUAUGUCCGCCUACCUGAUCAGGGUAGCGCGCGCCCAUAACCUUCCCUCGUUGGAGGCACCGACCAGAGGCACGACAAUAGACCGCAUUAAGGCCGUCCCAUACCGGCAAAUGUGGUUGCAAUAGAAAAAGUUCGAUUUGGCGGCACUAUGACUCGAUCCCAUCGAUGACGGAGGGGGUUUGUAAUUAUUAAGUCAUUUUAAUUCCUUCUCCAUCAUCAUGCACAUGAAUGCAACAAUGAGCAUACCUCAUACAAAUGUUUUAACAAAACAUUGAGCUUCUCAAGCGAACACUUACAGCAUCAUGACAAUACCAAGUACUAACAUAUCCACGGUGCAUUACCAUCAUCAUAGCAUUUUAUAAUGAUGACAUGAAAAUACAUUAGAGUAGUGACAUGGCAUCAUCAAUAACAACAGUCUAAUUAUCAUGGCAAGAAGUUGCAUGAAAACACAAGCAUGCAUGGUAAGCAUAAUGAAAUAACCGCAACGAAAACGAUAAGAAACAACUGCAACUACACACACACAAGGUGCAAGCAAGGUCAACAUGCAAGUUCAGGGCUCAUGACAAGAGGUUGGCUUUCCUGGGGGUCGACAAAUUCUCCGGGAAGAAGUGAGAAACGACCGCGGAAAAAUUUGCCGGAAACAGUUCUCUGUCGGAGGGGGCUGUUUACGGACAAGGGCAAAAUGGUCAUUUUCACAGUGUCAAACCAUAGUAAAAAUGAUGGGAACGGAACGGGCUCGACGAGACGAAGACGUGGGCAUUGCAUUUACCUCAACCGGAGUUACGGUUGUCGAGAUACGAAGGGUUGAAGUUUAGGGACCUAUCGGUGAAAUUGUUUCAGCAAACAGGCCGCUGGAGGAAAAAACUGAACGCACAUUUUAUGAAAUACGUCUUCAGUCAGGGAAAACGGUUCGUGGUGGGGGCGCUUCCACUUGAAUGACAUGGCGACGACCGGGUCAAAGGGUAGAGGCGGGGCCGGGCUCCAGUGACACUGACAUGUGGGGUCGCAGGGCCCGCCUGGCCAGGACAACGCUCGUGGCCGGCUCCUUCUUCUCCCGACACGCGCCUGACUGAGGGACGACACCCGCCCCGAUGGCGCUCGCCGGCGCGUCCGGCCACGACAGCGGACGGGCGACCUAGACACAAGGGGCACCUCGGGGUGGUGCUAGCUUCCGCCCAGGAACACUAGGGAGGGAGCUGCACGGCCCAUGGCGGAGAGGGCUUCGGCCACUGGUGGGUACAGCGCUACGGUGGGGAAGGGAAGAGGCCGAGGCCACGGGGAGGCUUGCCGGAGUAUGGGGGAUGUAGUGGUGGUGGAGGAACGGCAAGGGGAGCGAGGCACCACUGGAAUCAAGCAGCGCCGGAGGCGGCGGCCAUGGUGACGGGGAGGGGCCAGAGAAGCUUCGGGCAAGGGGGAGAGCUGCGGGAGGCUUGGGGACUGCGAGGGGGGAUCGGGAGUGCUAUUUAUAGCCGCGGAGGAGCUCGAGGGGGAGGGGGCGAGGUGGCACGCGGCGGGCGACGUGUCCGCUCAUCGGCGACGGCGUAGUCGUCGGCAGUCGCGACCAGGGCUCAUGGGAGGCAGUAGGAAGGCGACGAGGGGGUCACGAGGAGUGCCAGAGGCUCACGGAGAUGAGGGGCACAAGCGGACGAGAGGGGGAAGAAAAAAGAAGAGAGGAAGAAGACGAUGGCCACGGGCGCACUGCUCGACCCUUGGCACGGCUCGUCGGAGAAGCAAACGGAGGGGGAGCGGGGUCCAGGAGAACGACGACGACGAGGGGGAGCUGUAGAACAUUGAUGGUGAGGUCAGGGACGGUCGGAGCAUCGCUACCGAUGAGAACAGUGGCUAGACCACCAUUUUGGCUGGCUGCACUCAUGGUCACCACUGGCAUGGCGCGCUCUGGGGUUUUUACUAAGGUUAAACCAUGUCUACUGCGUAGUCCUUCCAGAGUGGAUUAUUACUACGGUAAAGAGACAUGCAGAGACAAAGGGAGUAGAGUAAACCAAGCUCCACAAGGUUUCUGUCGCAAUCUUGGCAACACUCUAGAGAUAAAAUCAGAGAGGGUAAAUGGUAUAAUUGAUGUCUAGGAGGCUUAGGGAAGCAAGGACUACGGCCCUGGGAGUUUUGAGGUCAUUAGCUCAAGGAUUUAGCAUAGCUGCAGUGCAAAUGCCAAAUCUGGUCGAGAAAACAAAAGAGGAAGAAGCACUCACCAGGAGUGUUGGAUUGAGCUAUAAGUUGGCAAAUGCUCAUGAUUUUGUCAUAAGUAGAUGCUAUACAAAGAUCAGCCCAAAUGGACUUGCCAAAUUGGUAGUUUCUUCACAAGCAUUACUUUGGACCAGAAACUUGAGAAAAUCCUAGGAAAAUAUAGGCUAAAUGAAAUUAGCCAAACUCUUGGGUAGGUGGGUAUAUGGAUAGGAGAAGGCUUGGAAUUAUUUUCAGCCAUAAUGGAGCAAGAUUAAAUAUACUUGCUUCACAAACUGAAAAUUUAGACAGAAAACAAGAAUUGCUCCUGUGCUCACAUAGCUCAAUAAAAUGAGCUGAAUUUGGGUGAAGGCUAGUGAUUUGGGAUGCUUGAGAGGAUGGAAAAGUUUCAUCCCAUUUGGAAACUCUAUGAAGGUACUUUCUUCACAAAAUGACAAUCUGGUCAGAAACUUUGAAAAAUUGCAUAGGGAGCUAGGAUGAUUGGAUGGAGCUCAUCGUUGGUAUCCAUAGGUUACUUAUCAAUAUUAAACACCGUACCAAUUUUCAGCUCAAAUGGAAUUAGGAAUAAUGCACUUCCUUUACAAAAUUUUAGAGAAGGCAGAAACUUGCAUUGGAUCAUGUGCUCAAUUUUUGAACUGAUGAACAUGGGAUAAAGAUGUAACUAGUGAUUAUAUAGCAAGGACAAGAUCCACAAUUUAUGUGAGAAUUUUCCCUGCUAUAAAAAUAGUAGUUCCUUUAGAAAAUGGCAGAAAUGCAACAUUGGUAUUAAAUAGGAAAAGGCAAUUUUUCCUUAUUUAAUUAUGGCCAAUAUAAUUUCCACAGCUUGGAUUAGGCAUAAUUAUCAACUCCACAAAUUCACAUGAAUUUAGGAGAUGGCUAGAUAUGCCUUUUGAUUUUAUUCCUCAGAAAGGCAAGAAAAGGAAUAAGUCAUAAUUCAAAAAUAUUGCAUGGGACAUGGCAAUAUUUUUGCAUAUCCAAGGUUUAGAAGGAUAGAAGGGUCUCUAGGAACAGAUGGGAUGAUCAAUAGAUCAAGGAAAAUGAUGGCUCCUUUGUAAUCACAAAGGGCACAUUUAAAUUCCAAAAAAUUGGAAUUAGGGUUUGAGAGGGUUUGAGAUGAUGCAACUGAGGUCUUGCCCACUGAAAAAGACAUGAGCAAGUUUUGAAAGGUUGGAAAUGACAAGAAUUCUCAGGGUCAUCAGCAAAACUCAGGAGAAAGAUUUGAGAAAUGAGUGCCAGGAAGGAAUAACAACACAAAAUUGAUAACCCAAUUUAGGGGCUGUUACAAACCUUCCCCCCUUAAAAGAAUCUCAUCCUCGAGAUUUCUAGGGUUACAGCACAAUGAAAAGAUAACCACUCCGGGGAAAAAUCUCUGUGUUAAAUUUGAACGAGUUGGGGCACCGAUAAUUGGUACACCCAGGAAGGGAUAUGGGAGAACACGGUUAUAUCCACGACUAGGGGCACUCGAGAUCAAACUCUCGCAAAAUUGCUAGAUGCACCCAUGAACUGUGGACUCACCUGCUGACACGUGGGUCCAGGGCCCACUGGCAGCCUCCUUCUUCUACCUCCGGCUAACCGCUUUUCCCGUGCUGCUGCUUCGCGUGUGGCUUGGCGCAGCGCGCAUCUAGCUCCUAGGGCGGUGAGGACCCUAGUGCCAUAGUGCGCGGCGUGCACGGCGCUGGUGCAGCGAGCACUCACGUCGCGGGCCAGCACCUUGUCGGCACUGCUUGCGGAUUCGCCUCCUGGACGCCGGUGAUCGGGCGACGAGCGAGUUUCCUGGACUCUGCUCACCGUACACCGGGGUUGGGCUAUAAAAACGGCAGCGCGACUCGCUUCCAACACACAAACACAAUGCCACUCUACUACCUCUUCGGUUUGGGCGAGAUCGAGCCGAGCUCCUUCGGCGAGGAGGUGUUCUUGGUGGCGCUAUGGUUGUUCCUCGCGGCACUGCUGGGCACGCUGAUCGGCUCGUCGAUCCUCCUUGUGAUUCUCAUCAGGAACGAGCGGGCUCGAGACAACACGUGGCUGGUGGCUCGAGGUGUGGAAGAAGAUGGGGCACGGGGUGGUCCUCCGCCACGCUUGGUCCUUCGUCUCUUCGCGCUGGCAGAGUAAUCGUGUGCUGCGGGGGAGCGGAGGUGGCGACUUGCGGUGCCAUGCAAGGUAGUGAUGGUGUGGAUUAUGGGGUCCGGGUGGAGGUGAGGUGGCUAUGCCAGCUCAGGAAUCAGUUUAGGGCACGGGAAAAAUUUCGCGGAUUGCUCCAUGAAAUGUAGGUGUCGAGGUAGAAUCGGAGUUGAAAUCUGUAUCGGGGAGUUGUAAUGGAUUGCGAGAAAUAAAGCUGGCAGUGUUUCUCCAAAAACUCAAUUGGGUUCAUGAAAAGAAUCGGGGAUGAGAAAUGGCCAGAUGAAAAUGGCCUCUUCGAGGCUCUGGGUUUGGAAAAUCUGGCACACGGGGUAUGCACAGAUAGAGAGGGAUAUGUGACUUUGCAUUCCCCUGAGUACUGCUCAAUUGUACUCGUGGGUGAACCGGGUAUGCGUGCAGUAUGCAGUAAAAUCUAAACAAACAGUUAGAUGCAAUAAACAUGCAACAAAAAAAAACACAUCAGACAAAUCACACUGAGGUGUUUUAAUGCUAGUGGGUAUAUGUACUCCUGGUAUGCAUAUACCUACACCAGCGCACAUUUUAUUAGAGACUCGGAAUGAGUCAAUGUUGUUUUUAGUGUAUGUGUUCUACUGACUAAAAUCUUGUUAGCACACAUUGCCAACCCUGUCAAACAUUUCUGUUUGAUAGAGAGACAAGCAAAAACAAACACACAAACAAAAGCAAAUAAGCAAAUAACACAGCAGACGGGUUACAACAGUACCAGCAUACAACAAGCACAGACGCACUACGCGCUAAACGAAACUACUCACUCCGGGAUACAUGGUUCUAUCCUCAUAUCGGGGAUGAACCGACAGACCGAUCGACUAGCAGGAACCACUGACUGCGUGACUGAGGUCAGGCAGAAGACUGGCCUUGCUGGGGCUCUCCUGGAGGACGAAGACUGAGCCAAUCUCCAUCUUCAUCGUCUGACACUUCUAUGGGUUGGGGCGGUGGGGCUGAAAUUGCUCUAGGAAAAUGUAGCUGGUGGAUCCGGAGAAGAGACUUGUCGAGGGUGAUGAUGUUUGGCUUGGGCCAUAGCACAGGUUGAGAGGAUAACACUGGUUCGGAUGGCAUUGGGCCAACUGCUUGAGAUGCGAAAUUACGAGCCUCACGGUAAGCUUCCUUGACGACUCGUACCACAUUAUUGUCCAUGGCUCUAAACUCGGCAAGCAACAUUGAAAUCAACAUCCCCUGGGCAGUGAUGUAUUGCACCAGGCGAGCGAUUGCGGGAUCAUCUCCUUGGCUAACGGAAGAAGGCUGCAUUACUGCGUUUGACACAGUGGGGAAAAAGUAGAACUCUCGCCUUGUUGCUGCAUGCGGGAAGUUGGUUCGCAGGUGUAGGAUAGCCUCCACAGCAGCGGCUUGAAUGGCUAAACCAAAGGUAGGCAUGGCUCUACCCUGUAAAACCAAAGGCUGGACAUCUACUGUAGGGCCUAGGCUGAUGUGCACUCUUGCAUCAAAGCGAUGAAGGUGAGGGACGGGUGUCGAUUGGAACACCAGGUAAUCGGGGCUAGUCUUACCGCCAAAUGCUUUGGUGAGCAUCUCGGCAAGAAGGGGUGGAAAACCAGGGUGGUUGACGGCAUAGGUGCGGGUGUAAUACGUGGGAGCUUUUGAGCUUCUUGUCAUGGCUGGGUGCUACUAGCUAAGCUUCUCUGUAGGGACAUGGCGGACUGAGGAGUGAUCGAUGCGGCUAGCGGAAAGGGGGUUUUAUAGGCAGCUACGCGGGACAGGCCCGCGUGGCGUGGCCCCUUUCCCUUAAUGGUGAAGAGAAAGCGGUGCGGCCGACCAGAAAGGAUAGGAUUGCUGCACGUUCCACGGAUAACUAGGCAGGGACAGUGGGCUGAGGACCUGUCGGUCCCGACUGCGCCGCCUGUUAAUUAACAGUGGCCAUGCCGGAUGCCAGGGAUGGGUCAAAUCCCUUAGGGUCGUUACGGGUUGAUGGUAGCGGUGAUCUAAUGCUAGGAUAAUCUAUGCCAGCCUGGCUGCUCUGAUACCAAGCCCUGUGGCACCCCGAUCCGCAUGGAGCAGGGGGCCUUCGCACGUCAGCCCAGGAUAACACCUGACGCACGACAGGUCCAUGAUACAGCAUUCCAGGUACAAGAAUAUUCAUCAAAUACAUGUGUAUAUAAUUAUAUCAGUGAUGGAUAUAAUCUUUUGGCAUAGCCCUAACGCUAUUUACAUGGCAACGGAAGUCUAUUAAAAUGGCGGCGGAAGUCUUGGCAGCAUAACACUCUGGCUGGGCUCCACAACUCACAGGACUGGCAAGAUUACGGCCUAGCACGACGGAACAAGUGAACGACCUACAAAACUGGCAUGACACACCAGUCAGUACAUUGAAUGUACUUGCAAGACAACCAAAUACAUAGCAUCCAAACAAACAAGUGACAAGGCAAGAACCAAGCGUAAGCAACAACCUAACUCAUAUCAAAAACUAAGCAUGCAUAGUAUCAACCGAAGACAUAAAUCAGACUAACAUCAUGGCAUCCACUAGCAUGGCAACAAAAUGGCAUAGCAACUUUAUGGCCACAGCAAAACAUAGCAUAUCAUCUCAAUCAUAUCAAUCAAAGCAUGGCAUGGUCAUCAUGAAACUAUGCUGAAAAUUUACUACCAAUCAUAUCCAAUGCAGACAUAGCAUUUUAACUGUAUGAAACCAUCUCUAGUUCUACCAUAGUUCUUUAAAUGCAAACAUAUUACUCAUGCAAUGCCACCAAACUUGUGCACUGAGUCCCUCGGACUCUCUUACCAACGGUGAUCACCUCAUUUCCUGAUCACCAACAGAGACAAAUUUGUGAUUCUUACGGCGAUCACAACCCGACCACAUCUGGCCUGUGAUCCUUACGACGAUCACAACCCGACCACAUCUGGCCUAUGAUCCUUACGGUGAUCACAACCCGACCACAUCUGGCCCGUGAUCCUUAACCACAUUAACCAGCUUAAUUAUUUUAGGUUUAUCCUCCAUUUCGAUCAAGACCCGAUAGUGUACCCUACUACGAACUUAUGCCCAUGACCGAGGACACGGCUAUCGAUAGUUUAAAUACACUCUACAGAGGUUAGUACACUGUACCCACACCACGGAACCCAUGGCCUCACACUCCCAUUCGGGUGGACCAACGGCGUUCCGACAAAACCGACCUACUGCCAUGACACUCUCCCGACCACUCCGACUCACUCCCCUCUGGGCUGUCAUGGGUGGCCCCGUGUCUACCACAAGACACAAUGACCACCGUCGUGGCCAAAACAUGAACGAUCCCACACGGGGAUCCGCCGGCUAUAACAACUACGGGCACACAAGGCUUAUGUCCACCUACCUGAUCAGGGUAGCGCAUGCCCAUAACCUUCCCUCGUUGGAGGCACCGACCAGAGGCACGACAAUAGACCGCAUUAAGGCCGUCCCACACCGGCAAAUGUGGUUGCACUGGAAAAAGUUCGAUUUGGCGGCACUAUGAAUUGAUCCCAUCGAUGACGGAGGGGGUUUGUAACUAUUAAGUCAUUUUAAUUCCUUCUCCAUCAUCAUGCACAUGAAUGCAACAAUGAGCAUACCUCAUACAAAUGUUUUAACAAAGCAUCGAGCUUCUCAAGCGAACACUUACAGCAUCAUGACAAUACCAAGUACUAACAUAUCCACGGUGCAUUACCAUCAUCAUAGCAUUUUAUAACUAUGACAUGAAAAUAAAUUAGAGUAGUGACAUGGAAUAAUCAAUAACAACAGUCUAAUUAUCAUGGCAAGAAGUAGCAUGAAAACACAAGCAUGCAUGGUAAGCAUAAUGAAAUAACCGCAACGAAAACAAUAAGAAACAACUGCAACUACACACACACAAGGUGCAAGCAAAGUCAACAUGCAAGUUCGGGGCUCAUGAUAAGAGGUUGGCUUGCCUGGGGGUCGACAAAUACUCCGGGAAGAAGUGAGAAACGACCGCAGAAAAAUUUACCGGAAACAGUUCUCUCUCGGAGGGGGCUGUUUACGGACAAGGGCAAAAUGGUCAUUUUAACAGUGUCAAACCAUAGUGAAAAUGAUGGGAACGGAACGGGCUCGACGAGACGAAGACGUGGGCGUUGGAUUUACCUCAAUCGGAGUUACGAUUGUCGAGAUACGAAGGGUCGAAGUUCAGGGACCUAUCGGUGAAUUUUUUUCAGCAAACAUGCCCCUGGAGGAAAAAAUUGAACACGCAUUUUCGAAAAUACGUCUUCAGUCAAGGGAAAAUGGCUCGUGGCGGGGGCGCUUCCACUUGAAUGACAUGGCGACGACCGGGUCAAAGGGCAGAGGCGGGGCCGGGCUCCAGUGUCGCUGACAGGUGGGGUCGCGGGGCCUACCUUGCCAGGUCAACGCUCGUGGCCGGCUCCUUCUUCUCCCGACGCACGCCUGACCGAGGGAUGACGCCCGCCCCGACGGUGCUCGCCGGCGCGUCCGGCCACGGCAGCGGACGGGCGACCUAGACAGCGAGGGGCACCUCGGGGUGGUGCUGGCUUCCGCCCAGGAACACCAGGGAGGGAGCUGCACGGCCCAUGGCGGAGAGGGCUUCGGCCGCCGGUGGGUACCGCACUACGGUGGGGAAGGGAAGAGGCCGAGGCCACGGGGAGGCUUGCCGGAGUAUGGGGGAUGCAGUGGUGGUGGAGGAACGGCAAGGGGAGCGAGGCAGCGCUGGAAUCAAGCAGCGCCCGAGGCGGCGGCCAUGGCGAUGGGGAGGGGCCAGAGAAGCUCCGGGCAAGGGGGAAGCUGCAGGAGGCUUGGGGACUUCGAGGGGGGCUCGGGAGCGCUAUUUAUAGCCGCGGAGGAGCUCGAGGGGGAGGGGGCGAGGUGGCACGCGGUGGGUGACGUGUCCGCGCAUCGGCGACGGCGCAGUCUUCGGCAGUCGCGGCCAGGGCUCACGGGAGGCAGUGGGAAGGCGAUGAGGGGGUCACGACGAGCGCCAGAGGCUCACGGAGACGAGGGGCACUCGCGGACGAGAGGGGGAAGAAAACAGAAGAGAGGAAGAAGACGAUGGCCACGGGCGCACUGCUCGACCCUUGGCACGGCUCGUCGGAGAAGCAAACGGAGGGGGAGCGGGGUCCAGGUGAACGGAGACGGCGAGGGGGAGCUGUAGGACAUUAAUGGUGAGGUCAGGGACGGUCGGAGUAGCGCUACCGACGAGAAUAGUGGCUAGACCACCGUUUUGGCUGGCUGCACUCGUGGUCACCUUUGGCAUGGUGCGCUCUGGGGUUUUUACUAUGGUUAAACCAUGUCUACUGCGUAGUCCUUCCAGAGCGGAUUAUUACUACGGUAAAGAGACAGGCUGAGACAAAGGGAGUGGAGUAAACCAAGCUCCACAAGGUUUCUGUUGCAAUCUUGGCAACACUCUAGAGAUAAAAUCAGAGAGGGUAAACGGUAGAAUUGCUGUCUGGGAGGCUUAGGGCAGCAAGGACUACUGUCCUGGGAGUUUUGAGGUCAUUAGCUCAAGGAUUUAGCAUAGCUGCAGUGCAAAUGCCAAAUCUGGUCCAGAAAACAAAAGAGGAAGAAGCACUCACCAGGAGUGUUGGAUUGAGCUAUAACUUGGCAAAUCCUCAUGAUUUUGUCAUAAGUAGAUGCUAUACAAAUAUCAGACCAAAUGGACUUUCCAAAUUGGUACUUUCUUCACAAGCAUUACUUUGGACCAGAAACUUGAGAAAAUCCUAGGAAAAUAUUGGUUAAAUGAAAUUAGCCAAACUCUUGGGUAGGAGGGUUAUAUGGAUAGGAUAAGGCUUGGAAUUAUGUUCAUACAUAAUGGAGCAAGAUAAAAUAUACUUGCUUCACGAACUGAAAAUUUGGACAGAAAACAAGAAUUGCUCCUGUGCUGACAUAGAUCAAUAAAAUCAGCUGAAUUUGGGUGAAGGCUAGUGAUUUGAGAUGCUUGGGAGGAUGGAAAAGUUAAAUCCCAUUUGGAAACUCUAUGAAGGUACUUCCUUCACAAAGUGACAAUCUGGUCAGAAACUUUGAAACAUUGCACAGGGAGCUUGGAUGAUUGGAUGGAGCUCAUCUUUGGUAUCCAUAGGUUAUUUAUCAAUAUUAAACACCCUGCCAAUUUGCAUCUCAAAUGUAAUUAGGAAUAAAGCACUUCUUUUGCAAAAUUUCAAAGAAGGCAGAAACUUGCAUUGGAUCAUGUGCUCAAUUUUUGAACUGAUGAACAUGGGAUAAAUAUGGAACUAGUGCUUAUAUAGCAAGGAAAAGCUCCACAAUUUAUGUGAGAAUUUUCCCCGCUAUAAAAAUAGUAGUUUCUUUAGAAAAUGGCAGAAAUGCAACAUUGGUAUUAAAUAGUAAAAGGCAAAUUUUCCUUAUUUAAUUAUGGCCAAUAUAAUUUCCACAGCUUGUAUUAGGCAUAAUUAUCAACUCCACAAAUUCACAUGAAUUUAGGAGAUGGCUAGAUAUGCCUUUUGAUUUUAUUCCCCGGAAAGGCAAGAAAAGGAAUAAGUCAUAAUUCAAAAAUAUUGCAUGGGACAUGGCAAUAUUUUUGCAUAUCCAAGGUUUAGAAGGAUAGAAGGGUUUCUAGGAACAGAUGGGAUGAUCAACAGAUCAAGGAAAAUGAUGGCUCCUUUGUAAUCACAAAGGGCACAUUUAAAUUCCAAAAAUUUGGAAUUAGGGUUUGAGAGGGUUUAAGAUGAUGCAACUGAGGUCUUGCCCACUGAAAAAGACAUUAGCAAGUUUUGAAAGGUUGUAAAUGACAAGAAUUCUCAGGGUCAUCAGCAAAACACAAGAGAAAGAUUUGAGAAAUGAGUGCCAGGAAGGAAUAACAACACAAAAAUUGAUAACCCAAUUUUGGUUCUGUUACAUCUUGUAAUCCUGUCCGGUUGAUGGCUUUGUUAAUUCAAAGCCGGGCUCUUCUUGAGCCUUCGUUCUAAAAAAAGAAAGUUCGGAUACUAUUUUCAUGUGACUAAAUAGUUAUUUUUGAAUAAUGUGAAUCAAUGAUUGAUGACUUUGAUUGCAUGCAUAUUUUUGGACAAUGAUUUACAACAAGUAUAGGCUGGGAGCUCAAUCAAUUUUAUUGCCGACUUGCCAUAUUUUAAUUCCAAUACUAUGAAAUCAUGAACCAACAAACAUAAUGUCCAAUUAAAGGCGAGUAAAAAAAUUCCUCAACAACAACUAAAACAUUGAAAAAUUGGAGAUGGAUUACAGAUGUUUUCAAUUAAUAAAAAACUAACCAACAUUUUCCUAAAAAAGUGUACAUAAUAGACAUUGCCUGCCCAUCUGCGCGGGCAAUUCUACUAGUUGCCAUCCCAUAUAUGAACUUUAGAUGCACACUCUCAGAAGCCAAUGGUGGAAGUGGCCGCCCUGUCACCGUGAUGGUUCUAGAAUUUGAAGACUGCACAAAACAUGGCAAGGUACAAUAAAUUUGUUCCAAUGUCCUUAGUUGAUAUAUAUUGGUGAAUACCUUUACGCAAUUUCUAUUAUUCUGUUUUGUGGGAAAAAAUAAUUAUCUUCAGUCGAUUCUCCGGCUCUGGCUGGCCGAAAUUCUUUGACCCGGAGACAUGCAAGAUUCUUUUCAGCAAUAUCCUUGCCAAAUAUCUUUGUCAACGAGGAGUUUGGUGGUGCGAUGCCAACAGACAUUAUACAUAUGACCGCUGAGACUAAGGAGGGGUACAGAUUUCAGACAGUUGUGGAAUGCAUGGUAUUCGGCAUCAGUCUCUGAUGAUCAAACUUACAACAGGCUAUGAAGAAUAGUGAAAACAAUGAAGACAAAUCAACUUAGUCCUUGAUGGACGGAUGGAUGCACUCUAUCCACUACCUGUUAGAGAUUCUUCAUAAAAUGGAAUCUACCAACUCGAAGAUGAGAGAAGAAAUAAACUGCAUUUCCACAACAUGAGAACAACCAGAUAAGAGAAUCAAACCCCAAGUGAGCUUGCAUUGAUGAUACAAACGUCGUGUGGUAACUAUUGUAUUGUCACCAUCAGUUACAUGGUUAUUAGUUUUGGUGGAACAACAGUCAUUCUGAACUACACCAGAGUACAAUCCAAUUUAACACAAACUGAAUACUUAACAGAUUCAAAAAGGGUGGCAUACUCUGGCAGUCAAACAGGGCACAUAGACUCAAUUUCCAUUGUACGUAGCCAUGUCCUCACCCAAUUUCUAUUUUCCAAUAAUGGAAAAAAGGCAAUGUUCUGACCAAUCAUGACGCAUUUUAAGACUUCGACCAAUUGGAAACUGUUUUCGUGAGUUGCAUUGAUCAACCAACGCAACCAGAACAGGAUGAAAUGCAAGAAACUAAAUCUAGCAAUAAUGGCCAACACAGGACCACCAUUACAGACUAACAAGGCUUAACACCUACAUGACGAUCGAGGACACAUCUUUGUAACCAUUAAUGGUGGAAGCUCCAGGGCCUCGUGCGUCAGGAGGAUCCUUCGGGAAAAUGAGAUCUGCACAAAACAUGAAAGUGUACAAUAAGUUUGGUACCAAGAUGUUUUUGUUCAAUCGUGCCAAAGAUCGGCAGCCGGUAUCAUAACAACCCCUGCCGUUAUGUAUCUGCAGAUAUCAAAUUUGAGAUGUAAAUUCAGUGGCUGUAUCUGCGGACACAUCUAACUUUUUAUAAAUAUGUACCUACAGACUGAGACUGACAAGGAUCGGAACAAAGACGGGAAGUUUCUGACUUUACAGAAGCAAAGACGUACAGAACCAGUUUCAAGACCAAGAAGAGAUCAAAUGAACAUGUUUAAAGCAAAGAAUAUGAAGUGAAAUUCAAGCAUACACCGAACAUUCAAGCAGUAACAUAACUAUUUCUUCAGACCUAAAUGACCACAAUCCUUUCCUUACAUGGUCAGAAUACAAUCCAAUGCUAAAUACAAGAGAUCACCAUUGUUAUAUCAAACAAGGCAACCUAGGAUGAGGUGAACUAAGUGACUGCCUUGGUGUCCUUGGACACAUGUGUGGUUGGUGACUUAGCCGGGGAUGACAGGGCGGAUGAGUGUCUGAAUCUCGCAGGAUUUGAGGGUGGAAUCGUGGCGAGUUCAUGAAUUACAAUGUCAGGCCAUGCAUGGCCAGAUUGUAAUGGUUCGGUAGAGGCUACUAGACAAAUAUCCAAGUCCAGUAUUACCCAUUCAUAACUUACAAUCUGAGUGCGACUACGACAAUUGAUGCUAAUAUGCUCACGGAGAUCCUUUCAUGAACUCCUACGAGUUUAUUCCUCGUUUGGUCAUAGUGGGGAUGUAAACCGGGUCCCCACUUAUCGGUCUAAUAGUUCAAUAAAGCUCUUUUUGUGGGAAAAUGAACUAUCGAGUUAAGUAAAUCUAACCAAACGGGCCUUGCGGCGUCAUUUGUUGCGCAUUGACAUGCCUAGGUCAUAGAUAUUAUACCAGGGGGAAAAUUGUAUUUUUCUAGUCUGAGUUAACACCUUUAGUAACCAAAAUUGAUGGAAUUUCAUAUUAGGAACAAAACUUCGACCAUGUGUCAAAUAGGGAGGAUUUUAUUUUUUUCAGGGCCAAAUAGGAAACCACAUUUUUAUUCAGGGUCAAAUAAAGAAUUCUCUAAAGAAGGAAAAGAUAGAAUCCUUAAUGAAUUUAUCACCGCAAGUCCACAACCACCAUUUCACCUCCCCAAAGACUCAUUGUGGCGAGAAAGAGCGGAGUGACUGGAAAGAGCAUUAAUGAGAUGGUAGGUUUUCGAUGGGUGUCUGAUGGUUGUCUAUCCUUGAGCAAUGUGUUUUUUCAACAAAGAGAGUAAUGGUAAUUAUAUACAGACCAACAAACAACCUAGAAAGACACAUGUAUUUUUUUCAAAAAGGAGGCUUGACCCUCGGCCUCUGCAUCAUUAGAAUCCACACAUACAGGUGCUAGAACAUUGCACAAACAACCGAGGAAAAUAAAAAUACAGAGAAGCCCCUAGAGGUCCCUGAGCGACGGCCAUCUCGCCAUCAGCCUUCACCGCUGCCAGAGAAGAGAAGAAACCAUGAACUGAAAAGCACAUUUGCAGAACGCUCCUUUCAUGGACCUCAAGAAUGCGAAGCUAGAGGCGGUGACAAUGACAUUGGGGAACAUCGGCUGGAAAUGACCCCCGUACUUCUCGAGCCCAAGAUCCACCUCGACUGGAAAUCGUAGCUUGUAUUCUCGAGCAUGAACACACUCAUGAACAUGUCAUGUUUAGAAAGAAGCAGACAAUCACAUGUUGCAUAUUACUUACCACAAUCCAGAACAACACUAGACAGGUGCAUGAAACAUCUUAUCACAAUUACAUAACCGGUUCAGGCCUGGCACUAAGUUCAUGAGAUGAGCAAAAGUGCACUAGGACUACCACGACACUUCAAAACCUCGACAUUUAUGAUUUAUGAUAACAUCCAAGCAACAAGCUACACAGAAAUACAUAAGAGUUCAUAUGAAUAGGACACUAGUAGACGAAAUGCAACAAAGCACAUAAGAGUUCAUAACUUCAUAUGAAUAGGACACUAGUAGAUGAGACACAACAACUUCAUGGCACUAGAUCCGAGGGCCUCAAGUUUGAAUAACGGGGAUGAUCUGAU